rnacentral:rRNA from 1 species
UACAGAGGUGGCAAGCGUUGUUCGGAAUUACUGGGCGUAAAGGGCGCGUAGGCGGUUCGUUAAGUCCUGUGUGAAAUCCCCCGGCUCAACUGGGGAACUGCACAGGAAACUAGCGGGCUUGAGUUCGGGAGAGGGAAGCGGAAUUCCGGGUGUAGCGGUGAAAUGCGUAGAUAUCCGGAGGAACACCGGUGGCGAAGGCGGCUUCCUGGACCGACACUGACGCUGAGGCGCGAAAGCGUGGGGAUCAAACAGG